AUGGGUGGAUGCUCCGCUCCAAACUGCUCGAACUCUACAACUAUUGGAAAGCAGCUCUUUCGCUUUCCGAAAGACCCCGUGCGCAUGAGAAAGUGGCUGGUAAACUGUCGGCGUGAUUUUGUACCCACUCCCUGCUCCAGACUGUGCCAGGACCACUUUGAAGAAAGCCAGUUUGAGGAGAUCGCCAGAUCACCAGCAGGGGGAAGGAAACUCAAACCCAACGCUAUCCCCACACUCUUCAAUGUACCCGACCCUCCCUCUCCUGUCACCCCCCAAGCAGUGUUACCUGUUAAAAAUGAGCCAGUAGAAAAGGACUUGAACAUGGGGGAUCAUGGAUAUGCCCGCCGACAGCCACCUGUGGAUUCAGAGGAGGAUGGGGUUCAGCGGACAGAUGAGGAGCGACCCUGUUCUCUCUGCCAGCAUUAUAAAACCAAACUGGAGCAGCAACAGCAACACACAGUCAGACUACAGAGAGAGGCAGAGGAGAUGAAGAAACGUCUUUACAAACUGAGUAAAAUAGAGAAGGGGCUACAGGUGUUCCUGUUUGAGGAUCAGAUACGCGCCCUAACGUUGGCCAAGCGUUCUCGGAGGGCAGUGUGGUCCCAUGAUACUUUACUGACAGCCCGUAAAAUCCGCUGCGCAGUGGGGGUUAAAGGAUACGAGUACCUAAGGGAACUGGGCUACCCUUUGCCUUCUUACAGGACGCUGUGUAAUCGCCUGGAGCCCAAAAUGAUGGUGACCACGAGUAUGCAGGACGAACUAGCAGAGCUCGGCCUGGGCAUCAUAACAGCUUGUGACAGUCCAGAGGGCAACGUGACGAGUGAUGAACGACUGAUUGGAGUCAUGACCUGAGACACUGUGUUUGCAAGAAACUGCACUGAUGCUUGACUGUUAAAUCAGCCAAAGGCGGGACUCGCAGGAGAUGUGUGUUUACUGGGUUAAGUUAUUUGGGGUUGUUGUCAUUACAUUUUGAAACCAUUUGCAUAAAUACCACAACAGUCUGGAGAUGAUUCACUAACUAUUAUGUGUUUUUUUUGUUUUAACAAAAAUAAAUAUUUUGGUCUUGCUGCA
ensembl:lncRNA